CCGGCGUCUCCCCCGGCGUUGGCGUCUCCUGCUGACUCUUCUGGGCGCUUCCUUGUGCUUACAGUCCUGGUUCCGAUUCCUGCUGACGUUUCACGGCCUACAGCCGACUUGCAUAAACGCUUUCUCUUGGGAUUCUCACCCCGUGAGAUGGACACGGCAGGGUGAUGACAGCUUUACAGGCAGGAGAAGUUACGGGUCACAGGUUGAGUGACUCUCCCUAAGAACCGCGUGCUGGGAUUUUAAUAAUGGUUCCUGACAGAACCGUGUUUUUGGCUUGGUAACAUUGGCUCAGUGGUUAAACUGUUGUGAGCUUACUUCCUCAUCUGUGAAAUGGGGGAAAUUAUAGCCACCUUGUGAAACCGGUGUGAAGAAUACAUAAAAUAACAGAAGAAGAAUCUAGCGCAAGGACUGGCCCGUGGUGAGCGCUUUGGACUGUCACAUCCCUCAGUGUCUUCAUGGAAGUGCCCACUAUGGAAGAAUGGCUGAAUGACAUGGUUGGAAUGGAAUGUAGCAGUCAUCUUAUCUAACCACACAGAUAACCUGCCAGGAGAAGAAUGCCUCACUUCCUCAUGAUAAUUUUGAAGACUUUCUGAGGUGAUAAUAUUAUCCAAUUACCUCACAAUCACAAGGUGUACUGCAGUGACUGCAAACUCUGUGUGCCUCAUUCAGCAAGUGUCACAGAACAAGGAAAAAGAAAGAUUGAGAGGGAGGUGGGACCUGUUAGCUGAGAGGAGACCAAGGACUCAAACUGAAGAUUAAAUACUGUGCAAUGGGAGCAGGGAUUUAUUUCUCUGGAGGACAAAAAAAGGACAAUACCUAUAGGGAAAAGCAACAAACAGUUCUCCCUGGAAACCAGGUCAGAGUUCUUGCUAAAGUGACAGUGGCUUCUAUAGCUGUGGUGGCCUUGAACUACACAAUACCCUUCUGUUUGUCCAGGCCAGUCUUGACUCUUGCCUAAUAAAAAUACCCAAGGUCUUGGGCUUCACCCCUCUCAUCUGGCUUCUCCUCCACCUUUCCAGUAAGCCUGGGAAAUAGGAAGUGUGAAGAGGGAGCUGAAUGGAGGCUAAGUUUUGACGAUGAUAUUAGAUGAUCUUUGAACCUGACUUAGAGGAUCCUGUGUUCCCAUCCCCAUUUCUGUCCAGGUCUUCUUGUGGGGACAAAAACCACCCAUCUCUGGGGCUGGGAAAUAGCAGAGAGGGCCUGGUGAGACCUCAGCAGCUCCUGGGCAGAGUCUGCCACCUCCAUCACUGUGCCCUGUCCAUGUCUUCCUUGCACAAGCACUUCAGCAUGUGCGUGUGAUCACAGGUCACCUAGUGACUGUGUGUGUGCAGGGCUCUCUCAUCUUUGCAUCCUUGGGGCCCAGAACAAAAGCCAUGAAGGUUUU